rnacentral:miRNA from 1 species
AGAGUUCAACCAGAUCAAAAUAUGAACCUUUGCUUCGUUAGUUUUCAAAUGAGGGCAAAAAAACUAAACAGAAGCUGGUUAAUAUUAUGUUUAAGUUAAUAAAAUGAACUAAAUACAGUCCAAAAGUUAAAGUAGUUUGACUUA